AUGACAGACGUGGACGGAAGCGGCGCGGGGCCGGGGGGGGGGGGGGGGGGGGGCGAAGAGAGGGAGCGGGAGGGGAGGAGAGGAGGGCGCAGUCAGGGAGGGCCUCUUGGAGGAGGUGGGCGGUCGACGAGCCUUCGCACGGGGCGGCGACAGUCACCGGCAGAUACGGAGAGGAGUUCUCUUUCGAUAACUGGUAAGACACUGACCGACCCCUCCCAAAAAAGAGACGGGGGAGCACACCCGAUUCUUUCCUUCUCCCCCUCUCCCAUUUCCCGGAGAACGGGGCGGGGCGGCGCAGACCGCUUUAAAGCCCGUCUUUCUUCGGACGGCGAGACCGGCGCCGGGGCUUCGCGCUGCCACGGGCGGACGGGAACGUGGGCGAGGCGCACGGGGUCGGACGGUUUGAGCCGCCCGGGCCCCCCGCGUCCGCCCCCUGCGCGACGGGUGACCAUCCCGGAGAGGGGGAGAGGGGGAGGAUGCGUUUCCCGGCGAGCUCCGAGCUCUUCGGCAUUCGGCUCGGGGCAUUCGACUCACCUCGGGACGCCGUCCUCCGCCGAGGGAGCCCAACUAGCGGGCCGUCGAACCGUUCGGCCCUAUCAGUCGCGGGCCCGGUGGGACUGGGGUCCCUAACCAACUACUCGGUGAAUUGGUCUGUGGGGUGGGAAGAGACAGAGACAGAGAGCACGAGGGAGACGGAGAGCGAGAGAGACGGAGAGCGAGACUGCGAGAGACAGAAAGCGAGAGAGACAGAGAGCAAGUGACAGAGAAUGAGGCAGAGGCCGAGAGAGACAGAGAACGAGACAGAGCGGGCCCACGAGGGAGGGAGAGAGAGCACAAGGGAAACAGAGAGGGAGCGUGAGGAAGAGACGGAGACAGAGACGGACAGAGAGAGACAGAGACGGCGCACGACAGAGAGAACACGAGGGAGACAGAGAGAGCAAGAGGGAGACAGAGAUAAAGAGACAGAGAGAGACACAGAGACACAGAGUUGGAGUAGGGGGCUAGUCCGACGGAAGCAGCAGCAGCCCGGCUCAGUGAAUAGAGCAGGGGCCUGGGAGAAAGACCUGGAUUCUAAGCCCAGCUCUGCCACUCGAUGAUAAUUUUGGCAUCUGUGAAGCGUUUACUACGCGCCAAGCACUGUUCUAAGCGCCGGGCAGACACGAGGUCAUCGGGUUGUCCCACGGGGGGCUCGCGGUCUUCAUCCCCGUUUUCCAGAUGAGGGAACUGAGGCCCAGAGAAGUUGAGCGGCUCGCCCGAAGUCACGCGGCUGGUAAGCGGCGGAGCCGCGAUUAGAACCGGCUCCCAAGCCCGGCCUCCUUCCACCGAGCCGCGCCGUCCGCUGCGUGACCUUGGACAAGUCACUAUUCCCUUCUCUGGGCCUCGGUCCCCUCAUCUGGAAAACGGGGAUCAAGACCGCGAGCCCCACGUGGGACGGGGUCCGUGUCCAACCCGAUUUGCUCGGGUCCACCCCGGGGUCGAGCACGGUCGCCGCCUGGCACGUUGGCGAGCGCCUAACGAACACCACUGUUAGGGACAGCCGGUUAACCUAAACCGAAAGCACCGGACCAACACGAAACAAACCCUCUCCUCGUUUGUAAACCGUGCCCCUCGUGCCCGAUUAGACCGUGAGCCCGACACUGGGCGGGGACCGUCUCCAUCUGGUGCCGAACUGUCCAUUCCAAGCGCUCGGUGCGGUGCUCCGCGCAUAGUAAGCGCUCAACAGAUACUACCGAAUGAGCGAACAGGUCCAGCUCUUGGCCCCAGGCGCCUCGAACCGGGCUCUGCACGCACCAAACGUUCAGACAGAUCCCAUCCGUCGGCCGAGGGGGGUGGGGGGGAAGGGGGGGGCCCGACAUUCCCGACGCUCCUCAGCCGGCCAAAGACCCGGGCCGCUCCACUCGGCGGCCCCGGGUCACCGGCCCCACCGUUUCGACGGCAGCCCGGCCCCGUGAACUUCCCAUUCCUCCGGGUUUUACAGGGCGAGGAAGGGAGGCCUCUCGGGGCGUAGCGCCGCCGUGUCGUCACUCGACAUCAAAAGCGACCGCCCGGGAGGGACGGUGAAACGAGCCACCCUCCACCCGAUUCGACCGGUUCGACCGCCCCGGGAACGGGCGGCCGGGACGCUCCGCGGCUCCGCGGGAGCGAUCCCGGAAGAAGAAAGUAUACCCGAUCGUUUUUCAGAAUAGGCCGUCCGGAUCCCUCACCUUCGAAGCGCAAAAAUACGGAGGGGGAUCGCAGAGGUUCCCAUCGGGUGUCUGGGUAUCUCUGACCUUCCCCGGCGGCCGUGCAAGGUAAACAGAGCGAGACUCGGACCCUUUUAGGUUCUCUGCAGAUCUAAGGUCUCGGAGGCCCGUGAGAAUAACGGUAAUACUGGUGUUCGUGAAGCGCUUACUACGGGCCAGGCACUGUACUGAGCGCUGGGGAGGACACGGGCAAAUCGAGGUGCCCCGUGCGGGGCUCACGGUCUCGAUCCCCACUUUACAGAUGAGACCCAGAAGAGAAGUGACCUGCCCAAGGUCACGCAGCAGGCGGGUGGCGGAGCCGGGAUCAGAACCCGUAACCUUCUGACUCCCAGGCCCGGGAUCUACUACGGAGCCUUUCCGGCACAGCGGAGCAAGAGUUUGAAUCCCCCUCUACCCUGAUUUUUCCCUCUCAGAAAAAAAUAUUAAUUAAAAAAAAAAAAAAAAAAAGGCACCUGGCAGGUAAAAGGGAUGUUGGGUUUUAAAAUGCUACCUCACUAGUCCGGAGAAUCUGGAGAAGCAGCGCGGCUCAGUGGAAAGAGCCCGGGCUUAGGAGUCGGGGGGUCAUGGGUUCGAAUCCCGGCUCUGCCGCUUGUCAGCCGUGUGACUGCGGGCGAGUGGCUUCACUUCUCGGUGCCUCAGUUCCCUCAUCUGUAAAAUGGGGAUGAAGACCGUGAGCCUCAAAAUGGGACAGCCUGAUUCCCCCGUAUCUACCCCAGGGCUUAGAACAGUGCCCGGCACAUAGUAAGCGCUUAACAGAUACCAACACCACGAUCAGUCGGGACUACGGAAACCAUUUUCUCUCGGGCCACUUCGGAACCGCGAGCGGCUACGGAGGCACGAGAAGCGUCUGCAUUUUCGAGACGCGGAACCGGAAAGGCAUCUUCCGGCUGACCAUUUUAACGGAAGAGCGUUUCCUUUCGAAAGGAUGCCUGCCUUCGGGACUCCGCCCUGAAAACCAGGAGCAAUAUUCAUUGGGGGGGGGGGGGCAAUAAAAAAAAGAAGCACCUCCCGCUUCUCUACGACUUCACAGCUCAAGCACUUAGUACAGUGCUCUGCACGCAGAGAGCUCAAAAAAAGAAACCCCCCAAACCCACCACUGCUCUCUUUCCAACAGGAUUUAUCAUGUCCUCGUUCCGGCAGCGCCCCGUCACAGACCUGUCUAUUAACGGGAGGAGGGAGGAGGAGGCCAUGGCUUCGAGGGGGAGAAAGACGAACGGAGGAAGAGCCGACCGCGGUUAUUCUUCUGACGGCGGGAGUUCACCGUUCUCCAGAAAUCCUCGGGCGGGGCGGGGGGGAGAGGGGGUAACCCCUAACCCCAAAAAACCGUCGACGGCUAAAACUGAAGCUCCGCCUUCAGAAACCCUCCCGCCCCUCGGAGGAGCUUGGCCAACCACCCCCUUGAGAGGUGGCGGGGCAAAAGCAAAUGGGAGGGCGGAAACUUCCAGUUGGGAGUCCCUCCCUCCGAGCGGGGCCGGGACAGGUGGGGAAGGAACGGCUCAUUUCCCCAAGGGGGGAAACGCCCGGGCCCCGAACGCGACCCGGAGGAACGAGACGCGGAUCCUCCGGGUUCCGGACCUAGACGGGAGUCUUAGACAAUCAUAAUGACGACGGUAUUUCUCGAGCGCUUACUGGGGGCCGAGCCCCGUUCUAAGCACGGGGGGGGGUGGGGGGGGGGUGUACGAGGUGACGGGGUUGUCCCACGCGGGGCUCACGGUGACUCACGAGGUGACCGAGGCCCGGAGAAGUGAGGCGAGUUGCCCAAAGUCACACAGGCGGCGGGGCCGGCAUCGGGACCCACGACCUCGGACUCCCGAGCCCGGGCUCUUCCCGCCGAGCCACGCCGCUUCGGACGUGGUAAGGCCGCGUGACCUGGCGGAAGGAGCCCAGGAGGGGAAGUUGAGACCCGCCUCUCCCCGCCGCCCCCUUGGUAUCCGUUAAACGCUCACCGUGUGCCGGGCACCGCGCUAGGCGCUGGGGCGGAUACGAGAGGGUCGGGUUGGACACAGUCCCCGUCCCCGACGGGGCUCAUGCUCUUGAUCCUCGGUUUGGAGAUGAGGGAGAAGCCAAGUGACUCGACCGAGGUCACACAGCAGACAAGCGGGGGAGUCGGCAUUAGAAGCCAGGACUCCCAGGGCCGGGCUCUAUCGGUCGGGCCGCGCUGUCUCUCGGGAGUUUUGGUCCCACUCUGCCGCGGGCCUGCUGGGCCCCCUCGGGUGAGUCGCUGACCUUUCUGGGCCUCACUUCCUUACCUAUAAAAAUCAAUCAAAGGUACUUGAGGGUUGAAUGGGUACAGCUCACUGUACUAGGCCCUUCGGGGGACGGGGUACAACAGGGCGGGUAGACACGUUCCCCGCCCGCCGUCCGGAGGGGGAGACCCCUUAAAAUGAAUCACGGAUACGUGCGCAAACGUCAAGGGGCGAGUAUCGAGUAGCAGUAAUAUUCACUAAGCUCUCACCGGGUGCAGAGCGCCGGACUGAGCACUGGGAGAAUACACACAAACGGGAAUUGCCCAUUUCCCUCGGGCGCUUACGAGGGUACAGAUGUC
rnacentral:lncRNA from 1 species